AAUAAAACAUAGCAGAAGAUUUUUAACUGUAUAAAUUGAAUAACAAAAUUUUAUUUGUUGCGUGAAAUGGUGGGGAAAAAAAUGGUUGAAAUUCUCAAGUUUGUUUAUAUUAUACUCCUUUUUAUUUCUCUAUUUCUUGUUGUUAUCAAUGUUGAUGGAAAGCAUGAUUAUCACAUGUAUUUUCAACGCAUACCUUGUCCCGAGGAUCAAAACCUUUAUUGUAGUCAAAUUGAAUGUUGGUGCAAAUAAAAGACAUACUUUAAUCCAAAUUAUAAUCCAAUUGACAUGGCAAGUAAUAGGUGGAGUAGCAAUUGUUAAGGAGGAUUCGAGGACAUGCGCGCAGCUUUAUUUUUUGAGUGUCUUAUUGGUUUUUAAAUUCCUAUGGAUUUUGGUGUUAUGUUAUUUUAUUUUAUUUUGUUAAGUUAUCGUUGUUAUCACUAAACUUUCGACACGUGUGAUGUACGGGAACACGGGUCCUCUUGACUGUAAUAGAGAUAAAUAAGUUAUAUUAUAUGUUUUCA